rnacentral:lncRNA from 1 species
GAGAAGGGAAAAGAAAAACUUCCCCGGUCAAGGUGGCAGUUGCCAAUUUUGGACUGUCAGGGAGAUAUUCUCCACCACUGGAGUCAGCAAGGAAGUGGUGAGGAAGAACUGCUUCAUCCUCCAAAUUUGAUCAAGCAGGGAGAUGUCCUCCACAGUUGGAUCUAAGAAGAAGUGAUUGUUGAUGAGUGGGUUUAGCCGGUG